GACGAACGCUGGCGGCGUGCUUAACACAUGCAAGUCGAACGGAAAGGCCCUGCUUUUGUUGGGUGCUCGAGUGGCGAACGGGUGAGUAACACGUGAGUAACCUGCCCUUGACUUUGUGAUAACUUCAGGAAACUGGGGCUAAUACCGGAUAGGAUCUCCUGCUGCAUGGUGGGGGUUGGAAAGUUUCGGCGGUUGGGGAUGGACUCGCGGCUUAUCAGCUUGUUAGUGGGGUAGUGGCUUACCAAGGCUUUGACGGGUAGCCGGCCUGAGAGGGUGACCGGCCACAUUGGGACUGAGAUACGGCCCAGACUCCUACGGGAGGCAGCAGUGGGGAAUAUUGCAGAAUGGGCGGAAGCCUGAUGCAGCAACGCCGCGUGCGGGAUGACGGCCUUCGGGUUGUAAACAGAUUUCGCCUGUGACGAAGCGUGAGUGACGGUAAUGGGUAAAGAAGCACCGGCUAACUACGUG
rnacentral:rRNA from 1 species